UUUAUGGAGAGUUUGAUCCUGGCUCAGGAUGAACGCUGGCGGCGUGCCUAAUACAUGCAAGUCGAGCGAACGGACGAGAAGCUUGCUUCUCUGAUGUUAGCGGCGGACGGGUGAGUAACACGUGGAUAACCUACCUAUAAGACUGGGAUAACUUCGGGAAACCGGAGCUAAUACCGGAUAAUAUUUUGAACCGCAUGGUUCAAAAGUGAAAGACGGUCUUGCUGUCACUUAUAGAUGGAUCCGCGCUGCAUUAGCUAGUUGGUAAGGUAACGGCUUACCAAGGCAACGAUGCAUAGCCGACCUGAGAGGGUGAUCGGCCACACUGGAACUGAGACACGGUCCAGACUCCUACGGGAGGCAGCAGUAGGGAAUCUUCCGCAAUGGGCGAAAGCCUGACGGAGCAACGCCGCGUGAGUGAUGAAGGUCUUCGGAUCGUAAAACUCUGUUAUUAGGGAAGAACAUAUGUGUAAGUAACUGUGCACAUCUUGACGGUACCUAAUCAGAAAGCCACGGCUAACUACGUGCCAGCAGCCGCGGUAAUACGUAGGUGGCAAGCGUUAUCCGGAAUUAUUGGGCGUAAAGCGCGCGUAGGCGGUUUUUUAAGUCUGAUGUGAAAGCCCACGGCUCAACCGUGGAGGGUCAUUGGAAACUGGAAAACUUGAGUGCAGAAGAGGAAAGUGGAAUUCCAUGUGUAGCGGUGAAAUGCGCAGAGAUAUGGAGGAACACCAGUGGCGAAGGCGACUUUCUGGUCUGUAACUGACGCUGAUGUGCGAAAGCGUGGGGAUCAAACAGGAUUAGAUACCCUGGUAGUCCACGCCGUAAACGAUGAGUGCUAAGUGUUAGGGGGUUUCCGCCCCUUAGUGCUGCAGCUAACGCAUUAAGCACUCCGCCUGGGGAGUACGACCGCAAGGUUGAAACUCAAAGGAAUUGACGGGGACCCGCACAAGCGGUGGAGCAUGUGGUUUAAUUCGAAGCAACGCGAAGAACCUUACCAAAUCUUGACAUCCUUUGACAACUCUAGAGAUAGAGCCUUCCCCUUCGGGGGACAAAGUGACAGGUGGUGCAUGGUUGUCGUCAGCUCGUGUCGUGAGAUGUUGGGUUAAGUCCCGCAACGAGCGCAACCCUUAAGCUUAGUUGCCAUCAUUAAGUUGGGCACUCUAAGUUGACUGCCGGUGACAAACCGGAGGAAGGUGGGGAUGACGUCAAAUCAUCAUGCCCCUUAUGAUUUGGGCUACACACGUGCUACAAUGGACAAUACAAAGGGCAGCGAAACCGCGAGGUCAAGCAAAUCCCAUAAAGUUGUUCUCAGUUCGGAUUGUAGUCUGCAACUCGACUACAUGAAGCUGGAAUCGCUAGUAAUCGUAGAUCAGCAUGCUACGGUGAAUACGUUCCCGGGUCUUGUACACACCGCCCGUCACACCACGAGAGUUUGUAACACCCGAAGCCGGUGGAGUAACCUUUUAGGAGCUAGCCGUCGAAGGUGGGGCAAAUGAUUGGGGUGAAGUCGUAACAAGGUAGCCGUAUCGGAAGGUGCGGCUGGAUCACCUCCUUUCU
rnacentral:rRNA from 1 species